rnacentral:rRNA from 1 species
UACGUAGGGUGCGAGCGUUAAUCGGAAUUACUGGGCGUAAAGCGUGCGUAGGCGGUUCUCCAAGUCCGUUGUGAAAGCCCCGGGCUCAACCUGGGAAUGGCAGUGGAAACUAGGGGACUGGAAUCUGGCAGAGGGGGGUGGAAUGCCGCGUGUAGCAGUGAAAUGCGCAGAUAUCAGGAGGAACACCGGUGGCGAAGGCGGGUCUCUGGGCCGAAACUGACGCUGAGGCACGAAAGCGUGGGGAGCAAACAGG